GCCCUCUGGCACAUCCUAAGAUGGCGGAGAUCCCUCUGUACUUUGUGGACUUGCAGGAUGACUUAGAGGACUAAGGAAGCAGGCUGCAGCGCAGCAGACAUUCUGACGUCGCCUGUCUCCCCACCCCCUGCCUGCCACACAGUAAAGAUGAGGAGGAUGACUGACAGCUGCCCUGCCUGCACCCCAUUCUCUGCACACAGGAUGACUGAUGAGCUGCUUCAGAAAGUUCCAGAAAUCUGAGGCCUUAGAAUUUGAUCAUUUUAGCUGAAGAGAGAAAAAGAAGCCUUCCAUAUAGCUCCCAUAUUAGUUUAAAAUAUUCAUAUGGAUGUGACACGGUGCUUUUAAAAAGGCCCAAGUGGAUGUUUUGAGGCUUUGAAUGGAUUCUCUUCAUAAAUGAAUCACCAUUUACAGUGCUGCGGCAAUUAUAUAUUUGUGUUAAAUUUAAUGUGCUGUACUGGAGCUGGAACGCUCUUUUGUUUAAUGCUUUGCCUUAGAAAUAAUUGGGAUGCGUGGAUUGUGGGGGAGUGCAUUUGUGAAAGAAUUAUUUAUAAUGUAUACAUCCCGGCUGGAAUUUAAAUAAGCACAACCCAUAGGUCUGGCAGAGAAGCCAUUAGCUGUAAUGGCUUUUGGACGCUGGCCCAGCGUGUAGACUUCUUGGUCCUUUCUCCAUUUGUAUAUGGCUUGUUAUAAUAGAGCUGUCAUCCUCUCUUCCUUUUAUGUUUUAUGUUGCUGUGUGGCUUACUAGCUUUUUAAGCCUGUCUGUAGCAUAAAUACUCUAAAUGGGAAAUGAUUUUUAAACUGCAUUUGUCUAAUUUUCUUGAUGAAGUAUUUUAGUAAGAAAAGCUAGAAACCAUUAGUAUAUACCAUGUCAGAUGCUUGGCUUAUUCUUACUAGAACUCUCUCUGUCCUAUUGCCGUAGAGCCCACUGUGCCGACUGAGCUGAUGGGGCAGAUCCCUCCUCCCAGUACAUCCUGCCUGGUGGAGCUCGGUACCUUGAGGAUCCAGACAACCAGGUCAGAAAACCCAGCCAGGAAGCGCUACUGGCCCUUCUGGAGCAAGGUCUCAUUUCCCAGUGUGACAUUGAAGGCUAAGUAUGUCCUGCUCUGCUGGAGCGGUCUGCUCCCAGCCGUGAUGAUGAAUGCAGGAAGGAGGCCAUGAGCGUAAUCUGCAGAAUGGCGGCCAUGCUGACCAUGCACAGUUGAACGCCUGCUGCUGCCUUGAACUGUGUGGUGCCUGGAAACUCUUCCAAGUUUGGAAGAUACCAACAUUUUUUGAGCUCUGCUCAGAUAACAUGAAGAAAGCAUGUUCAGAGUGCUUCACAGCUGUGUCCCACACUUCCCCCUGUGGUCUGCAGAACCCAGCUCUCAACUGUGUUCAUCAAACUCCUCAGUGAUCCCCAUCGAUAGGCUCAGGUAUUACCUGCCUGCCUGCCUGCCUGCCUGCCGCAUUGAGAGCGAGCAGCACAACCCUGCUCUGCUGGUGAACCCAAGAGCACGCAGACACACAGUCUGAAGGAAGAGCCUGUGUCAGAUCCCAGCCCAGCCUCUGACAAUCACAUCCUCCCGUCAGCUUCAUCAUCUCAGAAUGAGCUCUCCGCGGCCAGGAUAUUACAGAGCACAUGCACCAAUGAGGCGGUGCCUGCUUCCUGCUGUGAAGUGGGAUGAGCACACCUUGCGAGUCCAUGGUCUCCAGGACCCAGUGCACAUCCUCUGCUGGCGUGGCAGGGUCGCCUCAAGAUCUCCUGAUGAUGCCAAGGGCAGGCUUGAGCCCAGCCUCCUAGGCUGCUAGAGCGGAUGGUCCCCACGCUGACCCCUGUGCAUGGACUCUGCUCUCCAGACUCUCCUCUCUGGCAAGGCGUCGCUGGCUUUGGGGCAGCUGACUGCAGGUUACGGUCCCUCAGCCUCUGCUCCACUAGUUCAUUUCAUGACCCACCGAGAGCCCAGACUGUGGACACUGUCUUACCAAGCGCUGUGCGCAUAGCCUUCCUGGGCCUCCGCUGCCAGCACUAGCCCUGCCUGAAGGACACUUUGUGAAACGUUGGCUUCAGAUGUUCGGGAACUGGCAGUGAUUCGCGGGGAUCAGCUGACAGCAGCCGACCUGGUGCCUAUCUUCAGUGGCUUCUUGAAGGAUCUGGUCAAAGACAAGAGGAGAGUGCACCUCUGCCAGCUGCCGAGGUUGGUGGUGACUGACAGCAGCCCGAACUAGGGGUUUCCAUAUGGACUAGCAGAGUUACAGCUAGUCAUCUCACAAAUAAUUGUCUUCCUGAAGAAAUCCAUCAGGCUUUUGCAGCUACGUAGGAUAUGAUUUGGCCGGUGCCGGGGGCAAACUGGAAGAUUUUCUCUUUGCUGCUGUGGUGAGUGAAGGGUCUGUUCCUAUGGACCAGUCUGUGGGACACUUGCCUGCCAGCCUCCUGAGCCUGGUGUCGGAUCCUGUGCCAAAGGAAAAGGUUCUGCUGCCCAAGGCACUGCGGCAGACACUGCUGGAGAAGGAAAUGCUGAGAACCAUCAUCUUGAAGUUGUUGAGGAGUUUCUCCUGGCUCUGCAGUCUGACAAGGACCAAGAUAAUUCAUUUUUUUGCUUCCUUAGAACCAAAGAUACAGAAUGCUAUAGAAACCACUCUACUGGAAGACUUGAACUGGCAUCCUGUGAUGGGUGCACAGAGAUGCCUCUGAUGAACAUGUGGCUUGUACUCGAAGAAAACCUAGUUAGUUGUAUAAGAGCUUCCAGAUGAGGCUUCUUUCAGGUGAUGGCAGCCUAGUCCUUACCACCUCUGCAGACCUGAUCAGUGGCGGGUUUGUAGGGAGGCUGUGGGUCCAGGUACCAAUGGCUCUCAGGCUUCCUCACCACGAGCUAUGGCCAGCAGUUUGUUAUUUAGAAAGACUGGUUUUUCAAACCUCCCCUCAGAGCCUGGUACAGUUGCUCACAUCUAUAAUUCUAGCACCUGGAAGGCUGGAGCAGGGAGAUCAAAAGUUCAAACAUAAUAUAGAGAAUUCUAGGCAUGUCUGAGCUACAUAACAAAACCCUAUUCAAGGAAACCAAACAUAAAUACAGCUCCCCUUGCCAAUAAAGUAAUCUAGUAGAAGCCUGUAAGUAUUUUCUGGGCUUGCUGCCCUCAUCCUCUCUCAGAAAAUGGAGUUUAUGGCACUGUAUUUUAUCUCCAGCGGAAAUGCUGUACCCGUGUAAAUAACUUGACAGGAGAAAGCCCCAUGGAUGUGACACUAGGUUCUGCAGAGAGUAAACAUGCCACCUGAAUCGUGUUUUGCUUCGGGACCGCUGCAGAGGCAGCUCCUCUGGGGACUUUUGGAGUGUCCUUGUAAAAGCAGCCUAGUAAAGAACUUUUAUUCCCCUGUCAUCUGGCUCCUCUCAGGUAUUUCCCUCACCCUUUCCCUAAUUCAGAAACUGUGAAAAUGUAAACUGUGUGUUGGUCUUUGACAGUAGCUAGAGUCAUAAGGUUGCUUUAAUGUGGACAUGUCCAGGGAUUCGGUGGGUGGUGUAGGGACCGAUGCCUGAGGUACAUGGAUACUGGUUAUACUUUAGACUCAAAAAUAAAAAAGAAAGAAAGAAAAAAGGAAAGAAAGAAGAAAGAUAAGAAAAGAAGCCAUACUUUUAACGAGAACUUUCUACAGAUUCCAUUGAUUUGGGGAGUUAUGUACUCUACAUUGGCUUAAGUACACAGAACUUAGAUUUCCUAGUUUUGAAUUUCAGAUGAACAAAAGGAUGCUGUACAGUUUAAACAUUUUUCAUUAAUUAAUGAUUCUGUGUUCUGUAAACGUUUGAUUAUGGGUCUGGACCUGUUUCUGCCCUGCUCUGUGUUCUCUGGUUUGAAUACAGCGAAGUGGUGGGGAGCCCGUGGGACACAGGAGCUUCUUCCUAAAAACAAACUUCAAGGUCAUAUACUGAAUUUCCUGUUACACGGGAUACCCCUGCAGGUCCCCAAAUUCUAUUGAUCUUGUUAUUCAAGAGGAAAGGAAGGCGUCUAUGCGGUGCCAAAGAGACUAGGAAAAAUGUAAAGAACUCAAAUACCCAGCACAGGCAACAUCUGGGCUACUGUAGCACAGAGUUAAUUCAUUAAAGUUAGAGACACACGAUUAAAAACAAAGCCAGAAGCUGUCCCGCUUUGUGUGUGCUGCGUGUCUACAGUAAGAACACGAGGCACGCUGCAGGGCCUCUGCAGCAAAACAAGCUUCUACUGCUCAGGUAAUGGAAACUUAUCAAGUCUGUUGGUCUAAAAGGAGGGAAAAUUAUUCUCAGCUAGAAUCUUGGAUCCUUUAUAGAGCAUAAUUUUCUAGAAAGAAGAGCAAAAACACCAGGCAGUCAUGACACACGCCUUUAAUCAGAGCACUCGGGAAGCAGAGGCAGGCAGAUCUCUGAUUUUGAGGUCAACCUGGUCUACAGAGUGAGUUCCAGGGCACUCAGGGCUACACAGAGAAACCCUGUCUCAAAAAACAAAACAAAACAAAACAAAAC